CAGCCGCCACGGUAAUACGCAGGGUGCGAGCGUUAAUCGGAAUUACUGGGCGUAAAGCGUGCGCAGGCGGUUCGUUAAGACAGAUGUGAAAUCCCCGGGCUUAACCCGGGAACUGCAUUUGUGACUGGCGAGCUAGAGUAUAGCAGAGGGGGGUAGAAUUCCACGUGUAGCAGUGAAAUGCGUAGAUAUGCGGAGGAACACCGAUGGCGAAGGCAGCCCCCUGGGCCAACACUGACGCUCAUGCACGAAAGCGUGGGGAGCAAACAGGAUUAGAUACCCCUGUAGUCCCUGUCUCUUAUAA
rnacentral:rRNA from 1 species